rnacentral:rRNA from 1 species
UACGUAGGGGCAAGCGGUUGUCCGGAUUUAUUGGGCGUAAAGAGCGUGUAGGCGGUUUGGUAGGUCCGCUGUGAAAACUCGAGGCUCAACCUCGAGACGCCGGUGGAAACCAUCAGGCUAGAGUCCGGAAGAGGAGAGUGGAAUUCCUGGUGUAGCGGUGAAAUGCGCAGAUAUCAGGAGGAACACCGAUGGCGAAGGCAGGUCUCUGGGCCACUACUGACGCUGAGAAGCGAAAGCAUGGGGGAGCGAAACAGG